UACAGAGGGUGCAAGCGUUGUUCGGAAUUAUUGGGCGUAAAGGGCGCGUAGGCGGUGCGGUAAGUCACCUGUGAAAUCUCCUGGCUCAACUGGGAGCUUGCAGGCGAAACUGCCGUGCUGGAGUGUGGGAGAGGUGCGUGGAAUUCCUGGUGUAGCGGUGAAAUGCGCAGAUAUCAGGAGGAACACCGGUGGCGAAGGCGGGUCUCUGGGCCGUAACUGACGCUGAGGAGCGAAAGCAUGGGGAGCGAACAGG
rnacentral:rRNA from 1 species